rnacentral:rRNA from 1 species
UACAGAGGUGGCAAGCGUUGUUCGGAAUUACUGGGCGUAAAGGGCGCGUAGGCGGCCCGUCAAGUCCCGUGUGAAAGCCCCCGGCUCAACCGGGGAACGGCGCGGGAAACUAGCAGGCUUGAGUUUGGGAGAGGGAUGCGGAAUUCCAGGUGUAGCGGUGAAAUGCGUAGAUAUCUGGAGGAACACCGGUGGCGAAGGCGGCAUCCUGGACCAACACUGACACUGAUGAGCGAAAGCCAGGGAGCAAACGGG